CAAUCCAUCGGCACCCACCCACGACUCCCUCACCCUGGCUAGGGUUCCUAGCCCCUCCUCCUCAGCCGACGCUGCAUGUUCCUUGCUGGCCUCGCCCGGGCACCUCCCGGACCUCGCCGGGAGAAGCCAGCCAGCGCCGUUCCGACCUCGCCGGGAGAAGCCAGCAGGACCCCGCCGCCAUGCCUCCCUCUCCCCCUUCUCCUCUUUUCCGCUACCUAUCUCUUUCCUCUGAACCUGAUUGGGGCGCUGCGAUUGGCCUCCACUCCAGAUCCGUCCGCCUUUGAUCCUGUAUCCUCCCUGGCUCCCUCCCGACGGGAUCCGGCCUCGACAACUGCACACGGGUGCGACGGGAUCCACCACUCUAGCUAGCAGGAGUAGCACGGUGGCUGUGGUCUGCUCACACCCCCGACUGACGACGUGAGGCGUGCGGUGGUCUGCAGCAAGGAUAUCCUUCCAUGGCUGGACGCACUCUUCAUCUAAAUCAUGUCUCUAAACGUGCUGCCGUUAAGGUUGGCGCUACAUAAAUUAUGCCUUCACGGCUGGACAUCACUGCUACAUGGUCUUCUCACUUGAGAUGUCAUAUAUAACGUGUCCUUUCUGUGUGAAUGUUCAACUAGGAGCAGUUUCAUCUCGAGCACUGCAAUCAUGCAUGCUACUCUCAUCGACUACUAACCACUUGCUACUAACAUAAAUCAUGCCUCCUACGCUGGACAUCACUACUAAAGAUGUACUGUCGGUGAGUAUCACCGUUUAGUUUUUUAUGGUCUAUAGAUUUAUUUAUACGGACAGUGCAGAUUCAUCUAUUACUUCGGCUAAUGUGAGUGUAGCAACAUUCACUCCAUUCAAUUUUUUGGGGGGAAACUACAAUAUUCAUUUUGUUCACCUGAACAUUGAAUUAAGGAAUGCAGAAGGUUCAGGGCUUAUGCAAAUUAUUGAAAUUUAAUAUUUGUGAACAAUGGAGAAAUACAGGCGGCAGUGUUGAAUUUACACCCGUUGUUGCACCUGCAGCUUUUCGGCAUCCUUAGCACGAUAAGCCCAAACACGAAGAUUAUAUGCCGCCUUGGAUUUGUGUGGCUGUUAACUUGUUGUCAUCAAACACUUCUUUUCCUUAAUAUGUGCAGCUUUUUUGGGGCGUCCAUGGAUGCAAAGGAAUCCCAUGAGUACAAUGUACACUGACAUCAUCUUCAUCAAAUUCUUCAAGCUCAGCAAGUGUGAGGUACUGUGUAGAGCUGGAACCUCUAAUAAAAAAUGACCUAUGCAGUAAAGCAAAGGAGAGAGACUGCAACCUUUUCAGGCCUGAAUAUAUCCCCAUUCUGAAUCUACUUGGUUAUUGAUUCUCAUUUUCAGCAUAUGAAGACCACAUGCUAUUUUUUUUUCUAUGCCCUCCUCUUCGGCUGUUCCUUUAUGAUUCAGCAUAUGCUAACUGUUACUGUAGCUUUCAUGCUUAUAUCCUUGGUUAUAUUUUAUAGCGAUCCAAAUUAAGGAUUUGUGUUGAUAUCCGAAGUUCCUAAUGACGAUAGGUCCUUAUUAGUUUCUUUAAAGGAAGCACAACAAGUAGUUGUACUAGGAAGAUUACCUUGACAUGGGAGUUUCUAUUUUCUAACGAACAGGGGAGUCUUUAUUAUUUCACUUGAAAAGAUGAUGUACGCAUUUAAAGUGUAGAAUUUCCAUUUGUAUAUUCAUAUUGUGCUUAACUUUUACUUUCUAAAAGUCAGUAUUGGCUGGCGGUUUGGCCGAUUAUUUAAGAAAUAAAAACCUUAGGUGUUGAUCCCUUUGAUCUCUAGCCAUAUGACUUCCCAUUCAAGAUAUGACGUGGCAUGGAUGUGAUACACCCACAUACAGAGAUGUGGAGGUGUAAAGUUGGGACGAGCAGGCUUGUAGAUGAAGUGUUUGUACUUAUGGCUCAACAAAACUGACUACUCUAGCCUUGCCCCCAUUACUGUAGUGUUAUUAUCUUCCGUCCCAUGUUUUGUUGAAAGAUCUUCCAGAUUCAUGACCCACCUUAAAAAAAAUGUACAAUGCAAAUACAACCAUUUAUCGUUACAGGCGAGGGAUUUAGUGCAGAAAGUUACUUUACAAGUAGUCUCAAGCUGGAGGAUAACAGAUUGGUUGAGACGUUAGGGGUCCCCAUCAAUGUUAUAUUAUUUGUCUGCAGGUAUAUUCUCAGAUCCAAAUUCUAGAUAUUAUAGUGAGUAGAUCAGGUGAAAGUAUGCGCAACAUAGUUCUUUUUUUGUUUUGCUCUAAUUUCUGCGGGAGUGUUAAACCCCACGUAGCACGAUGGUGGUUGUAUGCUGCCAUGGAGGAAUUAAAGGCGCAUGUUGAUUAAAAGAAUAGGUGUAAGUAAGGAGUGGCUGGGCUCACUAAAAUUGUCGAGUAAUCUCAUGAUCUGCUCAUGAUUAAUUUAGUAGCCCAAUUUGUUUUCUCAAAAGGUACAGUAUUGUUAUGGUAAAAGCUACACUUUGUGGCCUCAAAUAGAAUUCAGAUUUAUAGAUUGAUAUCCAUUAGAAAAGAAUAUAGAUUUAUUUGCGAUUCUGUCAUAUUAAUUAACUUGCUUCAGAAACAGAGAAGAGCCAUGGUUUGUUGUUGCUUGAGAUGCAUAUGUCGGCAAUGUUGCUGGAGCUAGGAACGCUUCCAUAUUCUAUUAGGUCUUUCAAUCUAUGUGUUGUGUGUUUUCUUAUUUUAUAAAGGUUGUUGUUGGAUGAGCCAAACAAUGGAAAAAGUGGCUUAUGGGGCAAUUUUAGUUCAUUGGAUCAAUUGUAGAUAUCACGUGCCAUUUUUAUGUUCACGUCGUCAUUAGAUCAGUUGUAGAACAGCCCACACAGCUUGUGUUCUUUUCAAAACAAACAUACCCUGAUGCAUGACAAAGUUGUAGCGCUGAUCUCAAAAUUAUGCUUCUAUGGUGUACAAUAUACACUAUAGACCUAAGAGCGGGUAGCUUCAGCUUGCUUCUGUAGUAUGCUUUCUCAAUGAUAAUCUAGCCCAUGCUUGAUUAUAUUACAGAUUAAUCCUGUUGAAAGCUAUAUUAAAUCCUACUUUUGAAAGCUAUACAUUUAGAUAUUUUGGUUUUUGUAAUGUUCUGCAUGCAUUUUUACUCAGGAUAAUGUCGCGCUGGAAGCGUGGUUAUACUUGACAAUGAGCAGGUAGAUGCGAGCAGGUAGGAUGGGAUAUUUCGCCGACGGCCAGGUGGAUGAUAAGACCGAAGAGGAAGGCCGCACCAGGCAUGCAUAGAUGAUGCAUGCCUCUGCACAUUUGUGGUGGAAUGGUACUAGCUUGAGGCAAUUAGGCAUAGUCCUUUUGGACAGGUUGUCGACAGAGAAAAAUAUAUAGUUUGGCGUGAGGAAUAACAUAGCCAGGCAUGCUGGUACUAUAAGUCGUGUUACAUAGAAACAAAAUUUGUUUGUUUGCUUGAGUGAAUAUGUCUAAUGUAUACACAAAGAUUCAGUUAUGUGUUUCAAAUUUGAAGUAUGUGGUUGUUUCAGUGCUAGAUACAUCAGUUUGAGUGCCAACUAAUUCCGGACGAAGGAAGUACACGACAUCCCUCUUAACGGAAUAAAAGGCCACAACUUCACCACAUAUAUAGUGUAACUAAAUCUCAUGUUUCAUGCUCUAACUUAUGUACUAAAUUCUAUUAACAUGGCUACAUAUUUUUUGGUUGUAUUUAAUAUCCCACCAUAACAUCUUUAGUUAUCAAACAUGCCAGCAUGAUGUUGGUAAAAUAUUCCUGUCCAUUUUGGUUCAGUAUCACUUAAUGUAUUUUUCAUUAGAUAUAGGCAGUGGUGGGUGGCGGAAUGGCAAAGAGUCCGAUCAGAUGUCCUGGGUCUGUGGGGAGUUGUGGCUCUCAACUACAACAACGUCAUCUUUUUUUUGAACAGACAACAACAUCAUCAAGGCAACCUAUAUUGGUUGAUCAAUUGCUAACAGCCUAACACAACAUGUUUUGAAUUGCAUUUAUUUCUGACUAAGAGUAGCAGUUUCUGCUGUUGUAUUAAGAUUUCAACGAGAAUCUAGAAUUGGCUCUAAGGGAGUAAGGGUGUUCGGCGCCUGGAGGAGCUUUCAUGUUGAAGGAUCUGGCCCUCGCCGUCGAGACCAACGGGGUCGUCGCCGAGUACAUCUGGAUGACAUGAAGCAUUUGGCACCGACGCUCACCUCUUUGACAAGCCAUGCUUUCUGGGUUUGCUUGCAGUUCAGUGUAUAAGAGAGAUAAAGAUGGAUUAUGUCGACAUUCAAAAAAAUUCCAUAUGUGACAUUGGUGUAGAGGUGAUGUCGCUGAAAGAGGUAAAAAAUUCACUGAGAUUUAUACAACAAAAGGCCCGUGGCCUAGGGUUAAGUAAUGUGACAUUUUAGUUAAUCAUGCGGGCCUAGGGUUUUCUAACUCAAAGAAAAGUCAGGGAAUCCAUCAGUUAAAGUCUGGCUUCAAUCCAAACACGUUGUCAGACUUUCAGGCCAUGGGAUCAGUAAAUCGAGAAGGAGAGAGGCCUUUGACUUUCUAGCCAUGACCUCGCUAGAUCGAGAGAGAGGGAGAGAUCAGUCAGGGGUGGCGGUGGCUCAGGAGCGUGAGCGCGGCGGAGGCCAUAGGGCAUGAGCGAGCAUGGAUCAGGGACCAGAGGUAGGAUGCGGAAGGUGGAGCAUCAUCCGUGGUGCGACACCGUGCGGCGGUCGUCCGAGGUGUCGUGGAGGUGGAGCGAGGCCGUUGGGAGUGAUGAAGGGCAGCGUAGGCAAUGGAGAUUCCAUGCAAAUUAAGAAUGAAACGUUGAUUGGUAUAUGACAAUAUGCUUUUCUUUCUACUCUACAUUUUCAGAAACUCUGUACGAAGCUGGUGCACAUUGGUUCUGGGUUGGUAUAUUUCCUUAUGUAGCCUUUGUACGGGUAAAUCAGACAGAGAUGGGGACUAUAGGUGGCCUCUCUUUUUACCCAUUUCUGCUCUACAUUAUAUGUAUAUUGUUGGGUAGUAGUUUUUCCCACUAGAUCUGAAUAUUAGGAAGGAUAUAUCUUGUAGCUGGUCAGACUCAGAAUCAUGUCAUGACUCUUAAGGGCCUAAUGAUUGUUGUUGUUUUUUCCUUUCAAAAAUUAAAACUCCUAGGUGAUUAUCGUAACUAUCAUAAUUGUACAAGCAAGAUUAUCAGAAUAACUAAGCAACUAUUUCUUCGGAUUAAGUAUAGAGUUUAGGGUGUUUUUUUUGCAGAUUUAUAGUGCUUAUUUUUUAGGAGAUUUAUAGUGCCUAUUUUAAAUCAACAAGGACAAUGAUAUUGCAAGGCUUGAAAUUUUAGACUCACUUUCUAUGCCAAGCUGGAAAAUUUACAUGUCUUAUGAUUAUAUAUGCAACCAGUAUUUUUUUUUGAAAUGCCAGUGGCAACGCAUCCGUUACACCUUUGGCAUGAAAUUUUCAUACUAAUUACAUAUAUUGUUUGUGCAGGAUAGGUAUGAGUUGAGGAAGCGGAUUUUAUUAUACUUGCUAAAACAUCGUGGGAAUGAAGCUAAAGGCAACUUUCCUAAUAUUGUGAAAAAAUUUCUUAAGCGCAUUAUCUAGAUAUUGAUAGUUUUGUAAUAGAUGUUUAGUUGGAACAUCGCUUAGUUUGUUACAUGGUCAUGUCGUUAAUUUUUAUUUUUCUUAUCAAUUUACGUUGCAAAAAUGGACUUCAAUUAUUCGAUAAUUAUGUUUGUGUUA